rnacentral:rRNA from 1 species
UACGUAGGGUGCAAGCGUUGUCCGGAAUUAUUGGGCGUAAAGAGCUCGUAGGCGGUCUGUCGCGUCGGCUGUGAAAACCUGGGGCUUAACUCCGGGCCUGCAGCCGAUACGGGCUGACUAGAGUUCGGCAGGGGAGACUGGAAUUCCUGGUGUAGCGGUGAAAUGCGCAGAUAUCAGGAGGAACACCGGUGGCGAAGGCGGGUCUCUGGGCCGAUACUGACGCUGAGGAGCGAAAGCGUGGGGAGCAAACAGG